GAAAAGAAACUCUUAAAGACUCAAUUGCAGUUGAGGAGAAAGCCAGAGAGGGGUUGCUAUGGAGAUAGUGACGUCACAGUAAACCAGCUGGCAGAGAAAACCAGAAGCCAAAUGGCAAAGACUGCAGGGAGUGAUGGCAGCGACAUGGAUGAGGGUAAGACCCGGAAGUGACAAGAUGUCACAACAAAUUAACUUACACAACUGGAUAUAGACGCCACCCACAGUGAGAACAGAACAGCGUAAUGGAAAUGAAGGCCGAGCCUGGGCCAGGAGUGUACAAGAGAUGAUCAGGACGCUGAUCAUCAGGGCACAGAUGAUGAUCUGGACUCUGCUGGACUCUGCAGAAAGCAGCUCAAGAUAGAUGCAGGCUAAAAACAGUCAGUUCCUAGGAAGUAUGUAUCCACGCCCCACUCCUGAGCUCUGCCCAUUUCCAAGGAAAGGGCAGCUGGUGAUUAGGGACUGGGUUUCAUUUCUGUAUCCGCCUCCAUUUCCCUUUUCUGGAUUCUGGCCUUUUGACACACACAUAAAGAAACCUCUCUAAAACAA